rnacentral:rRNA from 1 species
UACGGAGGGUGCAAGCGUUAUCCGGAUUCACUGGGUUUAAAGGGUGCGUAGGUGGGUAUGUAAGUCAGUGGUGAAAUCCCCGAGCUUAACUUGGGAACUGCCGUUGAUACUAUAUAUCUUGAAUAUCGCGUAGGUAAGCGGAAUAUGUCAUGUAGCGGUGAAAUGCUUAGAUAUGACAUAGAACACCAAAUUGCGAAGGCAGCUUACUUCACGAUUAUUGACACUGAGGCACGAAAGCGUGGGGAGCAAACAGG